CAGCAGCCGCGGUAAUACGUAUGUCACAAGCGUUAUCCGGAUUUAUUGGGCGUAAAGCGCGUCUAGGCGGUUAAUUAAGUCUGAUGUGAAAAUGCGGAGCUCAACUCCGUAUUGCGUUGGAAACUGGUUAACUAGAGUACUGGAGAGGUAAGCGGAACUACAAGUGUAGAGGUGAAAUUCGUAGAUAUUUGUAGGAAUGCCGAUGGGGAAGCCAGCUUACUGGACAGAUACUGACGCUAAAGCGCGAAAGCGUGGGUAGCAAACAGGAUUAGAUACCCCGGUAGUCCCUGUCUCUUAUACC
rnacentral:rRNA from 1 species